rnacentral:rRNA from 1 species
GGGCAGAUGAGUGCUAGUGUUAGGCGCGUUUCCGCGCGCGCUUAGUGCUCGCAGCUAACGCAUUAAGCACUCCGCCUGGGGAGUACGACCGCAAGGUUGAAACUCAAAGGAAUUGACGGGGACCCGCACAAGCGGUGGAGCAUGUGGUUUAAUUCGAAGCAACGCGAAGAACCUUACCAAAUCUUGACAUCCUCUGACCCCUCUAGAGAUAGAGUUUUCCCCUUCGGGGGACAGAGUGACGGGUGGUGCAUGGUUGUCGUCAGCUCGUGUCGUGAGAUGUUGGGUUAAGUCCCGCAACGAGCGCAACCCUUAAGCUUAGUUGCCAUCAUUAAGUUGGGCACUCUAAGUUGACUGCCGGUGACAAACCGGAGGAAGGUGGGGAUGACGUCAAAUCAUCAUGCCCCUUAUGAUUUGGGCUACACACGUGCUACAAUGGACAAUACAAAGGGUAGCGAAACCGCGAGGUCAAGCAAAUCCCAUAAAGUUGUUCUCAGUUCGGAUUGUAGUCUGCAACUCGACUACAUGAAGCUGGAAUCGCUAGUAAUCGUAGAUCAGCAUGCUACGGUGAAUACGUUCCCGGGUCUUGUACACACCGCCCGUCACACCACGAGAGUUUGUAACACCCGAAGCCGGUGGAGUAACCUUUUGGAGCUAGCCGUCGAAGGUGGGACAAAUGAUUGGGGUGAAGUCGUAAGGGGGGCCCCCCAAAAAAAUUUUUUUGCCCGUUAAAAUGCCGCCAGAAUCGCGGUAGUCUUGGGGGGUGAAAGUGGGGUUUGACGGGGGGGGGGGCCGCCGAUGAUGGGGGGGGCUUUGCGGGGGGUCAAGGGGGGAAUUCCCAUUGUGGGUGUUGGGGGGGGGGGGGUUGGAGGUGUGGGGGGGGGGGGGGGUGGGGGGGGGGGGGGGGGGUUUGCCAGGGCGGAAUGGGGGGGAACGGGGGGGACGCGGGGGUGGGGCGCGGGGGGGGUUUUGGGGGGGAAGGGGGGGGGGGCGGGCUAGGUUUUGCGGGGGGUGGUGGGGCCCUGGGGGCGUGGGGGGGGGGUGGUGUGGUGGGGGGUCGCGGGGGAAGGGGAGGGGUGGGGGUGUU